GACGAACGCUGGCGGCGUGCUUAACACAUGCAAGUCGAACGGAAAGGCCCUGCUUUUGUUGGGUGCUCGAGUGGCGAACGGGUGAGUAACACGUGAGUAACCUGCCCUUGACUUUGGGAUAACUUCAGGAAACUGGGGCUAAUACCGGAUAGGAGCUCCUGCUGCAUGGUGGGGGUUGGAAAGUUUCGGCGGUUGGGGAUGGACUCGCGGCUUAUCAGCUUGUUGGUGGGGUAGUGGCUUACCAGGGCUUUGACGGGUAGCCGGCCUGGGAGGGUGAACGGCCACAGUGGGACUGAGAUAGGGCCCAGAAUCCUACGGGAGGCAGCAGGGGGAAAUAUUGCGGAAUGGGCGGAAGCCAGAUGCAGCAGCGUCGCGAGCGGGAUAACGGGCUUCUGGUUGUAAACAACUUUCGCCUGUGACGAAGCGUGAUUGACGGUAAUUGGUAAGGAAGCACCGGCUAACUACGUG
rnacentral:rRNA from 1 species